rnacentral:lncRNA from 1 species
UCAAUAAAAAGAUUAUUAAUUUUUCUUUAUUUACUUACAGUUAAUUUUAAAAACACAAGGUAACACUGAAUUAAAAUUAAAAUUUCGUUUGAAAUUACGGAGAGAUUACGUUAUAUGCGGUGAGAAAGUAUGAUGAAAAUAUUUUAUUUGUUUCCGUACGUAAUAUUGUGUUCCGCAUAUCGUGAUUAAUCGAUUACGAUAUAUUUUCUGUGGUCCCAUCGGAGAACGCAGAAUUCUUAUAUAUUUUUGCUCCAAUUCUAUUUUAUCUAAUAGCGUUAGAUAGAUCUUAAUACCAAACUAAACCUAUGUAGUAUGAAUCUGUAAAAAAAAAAAUUAUGUUUAUAUAUAUUUCCGGGCUUUUCGUUU